AAGGGAGGAAGGGGGUCCAUGAAAGCAAAGUAUCUCGGGCCCACGAAAAUCGUAACGCACCCCUGAGCAGAACAGCUAAGAGGAGCAGGGGGGCAAGAGAUUGAUUAUAGGGUCAGACCCUCUAUGACUGCGGAAGGUUGGUGGAGAGGUCUGAGCAAGCCUGGGCAGGUCUCUACAUGUGAAAUUGUACCUGAACACGCUGUCGGUCACAAGGUCAGCGUUUAGAAAGAAGAGCUGGCUGUGAGGCGGGGUUCUUCUCAACCAGGGGUGACCCCCCCACGCCGCCCCCCCAUUCAGAAGACUUUGGCAACGUCUGGAGGCAAUCCGGCCUGUCACAACUAGGGGAAAGUUGGCUCCUGGUAUCCAGGGGCGCCGCUAAACAUCCCACAAGGCACAGGACAGCCCCCGCACAACAAAGAAUCAUCCAGAACUAUCAAAAACAGCAGUAGUGCUGAGGUUGAGCCACCUCGAGGUUAACGGCAGCUGCAGGGCCCGUUAGAACCCAUGUCUCUCUCCCACGACCACCAACUUCCACGCUGGGGGCAGGGCGACCUGCAGAGGGAUCAGACCCUUCGCCCCUGAAGCUAGGCUUGCACCUGGCCGAGGACUUGGAGAAGCCGAAGGAGAUCGGGCAGCUGGAGGCCUGGCCGCGGCCCGGAGCCACGAGGUGGGCCAGCCGCUGACCAGAAACGCCCUGGAGCUGCGGCAGUGGUCGCUCCUGCGUCAACCUGCGGGCCCGCUACUUCACUGCAGAGCAAAUGCUGAACGGUCCCGCUGGGGUCACAGGCUCACCCCUGAACCACUUACCAUGAACCCCAGAAGAAAGGAGGUUGGAAUAAAUCUGUAAAAUCAGUAGCUGCUACAAUCCGCUCAGGAACGCAGCCAACAUCACCAGGAGUGAAGACAGCGCUGAUGAGGGGAUGAGAAGGGUUUCCCUUUGAGCACGGAGUCCUUCCAGAGACCGACCAAAGAGGGGGGAGAGUCUGGAUGUUGGAACACAAAUCUCUAACACAGGCACUCACACGUACAGCAGGAAGAAACAUUUGGUUCUCCGUCACCUGAAGAAAGGAUGGUAAGUGUGACUGGCAGUUCCCUUAAUCACUCCAGAAAGGCUUGUUAUAUAAAUAAAUGAUUCAGAUACGAAGUGACUUACCUUAGGAAA